AUACGGAAGGUCCGGGCGUUAUCCGGAUUUAUUGGGUGUAAAGGGAGCGCAGGCGGAGAUGCAAGCGUGACGUCAAAUUUCGGGGCUCAACCCCGUCUCGCGUCGCGAACUGCGUCCCUUGGUUGCGGGAAGGGGAGGCGGAACUCGUGGUGGAGCGGGGAAAUGCAUAGAUAUCACGAAGAACUCCGAUCGCGAAGGCAGCCUUCCGGCCCGUCAACGACGCUCAUGCUCGAAGGUGCGGGUAUCAAACAGGAUUAGAUACCCUGGUAGUCCGCACAGUAAACGAUGGACACCCGCGGUUUGGCCUAUAUGGCUGAGCCGCCAAGCGAAAGCGUUAAGUGUCCCACCUGGGGAGUACGCCGGCAACGGUGAAACUCAAAGGAAUUGACGGGG
rnacentral:rRNA from 1 species